UCGCCUGUUUAUCAAAAACAUAGCCUCUGGCAUUUACAGUAUCAGAGGUAACGCCUGCCCAGUGAUCACAUUUCAACGGCCGCGGUAUCCUAACCGUGCAAAGGUAGCGCAAUCACUUGUCCCCUAAAUAGUGACUAGUAUGAACGGCCAUACGAGAGUAGACCUGUCUCUUUUAACCAAUCAGUGAAACUGAUCUCCCAGUACAAAAGCUGGGACACCAACAUAAGACGAAAAGACCCUGUGGAGCUUAAAUACCACCCUACUCUCCUCCUAGCACAAGUAUUUCAGUUGGGGCAACUUCGGAACAAAACCAAACUUCCGAGCACACUCCGAAAAUAUCGUUACCAAGACUCACAUGUCAAACCUCAGAGUCAGACCCAGUAAUUUACUGAUUAACGGACCAAGUUACCCCAGGGAUAACAGCGCCAUCUUCUUCUAGAGCCCCCAUCGACAAGAAGGUUUACGACCUCGAUGUUGGAUCAGGACACCCAAAUAGCGCAGCCGCUAUUAAAGGUUCGUUUGUUCAACGAUUAAAGCCCUACGUGAUCUGAGUUCAGACCGGA
rnacentral:rRNA from 1 species